rnacentral:rRNA from 1 species
UACGUAGGGUGCAAGCGUUAAUCGGAAUUACUGGGCGUAAAGCGUGCGCAGGCGGCUUUGCAAGACAGAUGUGAAAUCCCCGGGCUUAACCUGGGAACUGCAUUUGUGACUGCAUGGCUGGAGUGCGGCAGAGGGGGAUGGAAUUCCGCGUGUAGCAGUGAAAUGCGUAGAUAUGCGGAGGACCACCGAUGGCGAAGGCAAUCCCCUGGGCCUGCCCUGACGCUCAUGCACGAAGGCGUGGGGAGCAAACAGG